AAAUAGGGAGCACUGGGAGGGAUAUGAACUUGGGGAUGGCUUCGGAGUCUGUGAGGCUUUUAGGGCAAGACUCAACCUUUCUGUACUUUAAUUUCCAAUCUGUAGAAUGGGAAUUUUUAAAAUGUAUUUUUUAAAUUUGAAGUAUAAUUGAUAUACAACAUUGUAUUAGUUUCAGGUGUACAGAAAAAGUAUUCAGUGUGUAUACAUAUAUAUACACACAUAUUCAGAUUAUUUUCUAUUAUAGAAUAUUAUUCUCUGUGUUAUAUGGUAAAUCCUUUUUUUAUCAAAUUUUACUGGAGUAUAGUUUACUUACAAUAAUGUGUUAGUUUCAGGGGUACAGCAAAGUGAAUCAGUUAUACAUAUAUCACUUCCUUUUCAUAUUCUCUUCCCUUAAAGGUUAUGUUUAUUUUAUGCAUAGCACUUUGUUAAUCUCAUAUCCCUAAUUUAUCCCUACUCCCCAUCCCUUUCUCCUUUGGUAACCAUAAUUUUGUUUUUUAUGUCGGUCUUUUUCAAUUUCAUAUAUAGAUCUGUUUGUAGUUUUUUUAAUUCUACCACUUAGAAGUGAUAUCAUAUAAAUUUGUCUUUCUCUGAUUUAAUUCACUUAGUAUGAUAUUUUCUAGGCCUAUUCAUGUUGUUGCAAAUGGCAUUAUUUCAUUCUUUUUUAUGGCUGAGUAAUAUUUCAUUACACACACACACACACACACACACACACACACACACACACACACACACACACUUCUUUUUAAACCAGUCUUCUGGUCUUCUGUUGAUGGGCACUUGGAUUGUUUCCAUGUCUUAGCUAUUAUAAAUGGUGCUACUGUGUACGUUGAGGUGCAUGUAUCUUUUUGAAUUAGUUUUAUCUCUUCUGGAUAUGCACCCAGGAUGGAUUGGUGGGUUAUGUGGCAGCUACAGUUUCAGUUUUUUAAGGAACUUUUCCACUGUUUUCCACAGUGGCUGCACCAAUUUACAUUCCCACCAACAGUUUAGGAGGGUUCCCUUUUUUCCACACCCUCUCCAGCAUUUAUUAUUUCUGGGUCUUUCCUUAUAUCCGCAUACAGUGAAUGUAGUUGGGGACCUGAAUUUUCCUGCCCUGAGCCCCACUCAUUUUCCUGUCCCAGCCCUGCUGCACCAUCUCUAAGGGCAGUGUUGUUUGAUCUCUGUAUGAGGGUGCAUUUUGAUCCUCUGGUUGUUUUCAGGCUGGAUACCUUAUUAGCAUGAGGAACAGGUUAUAUAGAGGCAAGGUAAGGAAUGGGUGACAUUUCUUCCCUAACAGGGAGUGAGCAGCCCAGGUUGCUCAAGGUGGGGGAAGGGGUAUUACAAUGAAACCUGGUCAGUGGCUUUUGGGUUUGAUCUCCUUCAUGGGGACUUGAAGCCUAUAACAUGAUAAUUGGUGAUAUUGAGCAACUUUUCAUGUGUGUGUUGGCCAUCUGGUGUCUUCUUUGGACAUUGUCUGUUUAGGUCUUCUACCCUAAAAUGGGCAUAUUAAUGCAUGACUCCGUGGAGUUAUGGUAAGAAUUGACCAAAAUGGCCUUAGUGUUUCCCUCAACUUGACUAGAGUUUGGGCAGGCUUCUUUCUGCCCCUUGGCCCUUGACCUCACCCCAGAUAUCCUAUGAUCCUUGCCCCCCAUUCCACCUCUUAAAAACUCUACCACCCUUUGAUUCAUUGGAGAUAAGUUGAGAUUGAGUUAUGAAGAAAAAUGUGGAAGUCCUGACUAUUAUAAUACUUCCAGGAAUACAUAGACAGAAGAGAAUAUGUUCAGAGAAUUCUUGAUUUUCUUUGUCCAACAAAAGAAAAACUCAGGGGUAAAGGAGAGAAUGGGUCUUACACAAAACUUUGAGUUAUUCAAAACUCUGGCAAUGCAUCAUAAGCCAUGGGGUGGGCACUAAACUAAAAGCACCAAGAUUAAUAAUUUUCUGAGCCAAAGUACCUGAAGAAGUCAGAGGCCUCAGAAACCUGCUGAAGGGCACUGAGAAUAGAUCCAUUUUAUAAAAUUCCUUUAAAAGGCUACUGGUCCACACCCUUUUGUGCUUUGGAUUAUUCCCAGUGUUUACUGUAGAAAGGGAGAGAUUAGAGAUGAAAUAUAUAGUCAUAGUUAAUAUCUCACCUCCCUUCCAUCAUACCAAAAACAAACAAACCCAAACAUGCCUUACCUACCAACUUAGCUAUUUUCAUUUUCAUCUAUUCUUAAUUUGGGACUGGAGCUGCGGUCAGCAGGGGUUCAGUAAAUGAUUUUCCUCACAAUAGCACUGCUGCUCUCUGCCUCACUGCUUUUUUCCUUGAGGGCAGAGAUGUCUAGGAAUCUCAUCCUGGCACUAUAUUCCUUGGUUGUUGGUUUUCUUUGACUCCCCUCCUCUCCCUGACAGGAAAUAGGAGGUCCUAGGUGAUACUUUUUCCCCAGCUAUGGCUACCAUAGCAAUGAAUAUGCACUGGGGUAAGAUAAGCCGUGUUACCAGGCUGUAGAGUCUUCCUUCAAAAUAUUUGAUGGAUUAAUUCCCAGAAACCUGCUUGCUCUGAGAUAAGGAGUGUGUGAGAGUGUGGUAGAGGAGUGUGGGGGUGCAGAUGGUGGUGGCCAUUUCUCAUUCAGUCACAACUAUUGGCUGAAAAUUAUCAUUACAAACAUACGUGUCACACUAUUCAGGGCUACAGAAUGCCUGGGAGAGAACUGAUCUAGAAUGAGGGUAUAUAUGAUAAACAAUAGGUAUAGGCAGGAGAGAGAGGCAGCACUGGGCUCCCCCUAAGCCCAGAGUCAGGGUAUCUCUCUUUUUUACCCUCUUUGUCAUAGUCAAGUUCAAAGAGAUUUAGCACACAGGAACACCAGGCUGUCAGCUGAAUCUUCACUUAGACUUGAACCUCCUGCCUGAAUCUCUUUAUGUUUCUCUAUGGUAAACCAGACUGGGCAAUACCAACAGUGACGAUUUGAAAAUUGUCUGUUUACCUUUAAUUUAUUCUGCCUUACUUUGUCCAUAAGUGCAUCUGUUUCUGUCAGAGCAGGCCCCAGAUGAGCUGGAUGCUCCUCUUGCUACUUUAAGCUUUCGGUUUCUAAGAGCCAGCUCACUCCUCUGUCCUCCUUCCUCCCUCUCAGAAUACAUGCACACAUGGAAUCCUCUGUCAGCUCCUAAACAUUUUUAUAUUUAGAGUUAUUAACCUUAGUAUCCUGUUGCUAAACAUAUAGCUCCUCUGUUAUGAAGCCUAUGACUGGGCAAUAGCCUUCUUUGUAUUUGACUGAAGUAGGUGAUUAAGUUCUUGGUAGUGAAAAGUAAGAAAAUGUGUUGUAUAGAAAUCAUGGGAAGUCUCUUUCUUCCCUUCCACUUUUCUGAUACUGAUGCUUCAAAUGUGGCUGUGAUAGCUGGAACUCCAGCAGCCUUUUUGGAGUAUGAUGAUGAAGGCUACAUCCUAGCAAUCACAGAAAGAGUCUAUGUCUCUGGUGGACAUGGAGCUAUUAUUCUAGUCUGGUCCUGGACUCUUUCAUACUUUACUUUUUUUUUUUUUCUUGUGUGUAUGACAAAUAAACUCUUAUUAGCUAUUUCAUCUCCAGUUGGAAUAUUUUUAAAUCUUAUUUUAACUACAAUAUGUGAGCAUGUGCUAACAUGCUGGGUUUACUUUUCUUCUGUUGUUAUUCUAUUCUCCUGUUGUUAAAUUUCUGUGACAACUCCUAAUAUCUUUAUGUAUCUUCCUCUAUUUUAAAUUUUCCCUUAAAUAAACUUUAGUGGAAAUCACUGUUCCAGGAACUAUGCCAGGCUACUGGAAAACAAUGGUUAAUCUAUAAUACUUUAUGGCUGUGAGGCAUUCACCUGAACCCCUUUCCAAAGAAGUACAGGAGAGUGACAUCGGGUGAAUGUCACUACCGCCCAAAUCAGCUUUGCUCUUGGCAUAUAGAAAGAGUAGGCCUGUCUCUGGCCUUGAAAAAAAAAUGUAGUAUAAUAGAAAAGGAGAACAGAAAGGCUUAAAAUAAUGAAUGUUUAUAGGCAUCCAGGGAGAAUGAAAUUAGUGUUUCUUUUCUUUUCAGGCUUAUUGUUGAAAAAUUAAUAAUCUUCUGGAGGUCUGCUAUUAAAAUAGAAUUAGCAGUGACCUCAUAGAGAGCCCUAAAACUUACAAAUUGUGUUCCCUCUUGCCUUCACUGGUUGGGUGCAAUCCAAAGUGCGUCAAUUAUGAAUGGUCUAACUUUUGCAAAACAACUUUUCUUUUCUCUAAUUUUUGCAGUUGCUUUAAAAAAAAAAAAACAAAAAAAA
rnacentral:lncRNA from 1 species